rnacentral:rRNA from 1 species
CCAAAAACGCAAACGUUAAUCAUCUUAAACAGGCGUAAAGGGUUUGUAGGCUGCUUUUUGUAGUUUUAACUUUAAUAGAUCGAAGAUAAAAUUCAUAAAAAGCUAGAAUCAAAUAGAGGUUAAAUUGUAUAAUGCUUAGAAGAGGGUCGAUAUCCGUAGAUCCUAAGUGGAAUACUCAAGGCGAAAGCCACUUUCCAUUAAUGAUUGACGCUGAGAAACGAAGGUUAGGGUAGGAAAUAGGAUGUGCGACUUGAAAAGUCUAAAUACUGUAUUGUACUUAAAGUACAUUAUCAUUCGUCUGGUAAUAGCCAACCUGGAUAUGCAAGAUAUAUUUUUACCAGUAAUGGUCUUGUGUAAAGCUUCAGGGUAAAGUUAAUUAAAGGUUAUCCACCUUAAAUUUGUAUAUAAAUGCAAAAAUUUAACUAAGGCUGAUACCUAAGGUUAGGGAAACCGAACUUAUGUGGUAAAGGUUAUUCAUUAGACAAUUAAUUAUCCUAGUUAGUUGUAGACGAACAAAUAAUGAAUAAAUCAAAGUAAGAACCUAAGGGAAUCUAACGUACGUAUUUAGGAACAAGGUAAUGCCUAUAACCUGCAAUUUAUUGCUAGCUUUAUCGUGAGGUAAAGUACAUGGUUAGAGGUAAUAGGAUUUAGAAGAAAGCGAAGGCCAAUUUGUAAUUAAUUGGAUAAGGUUUUAUAACCUGACCUGAAAGGGUGCCCACUUUCUAAUUAGGUGCUAAUUCAAUCUACUAGCCAAGUACAUAUCUGCUUUAUAAUUAAAAAAAAAAUAAGUAAGUAAUUAAGUAAAAAAAUUCUAAAAUAUAAAUAGUAAAAUGCUAUUCAACUAUUAAUAAAACUAAGUUUAUAAAUCUUCAAACAAAAAUCUUUAUCUUAAAUUAAUUUGUGGAUUUCUAGCUGUUAUUGCAAUUAAUGUAAAAAAGAUUAAACCGAUUCCUACACCUGCUCCAAUUAAAAAAGAGCAAGCUAAUCUUAUUUCAAUUUAUUUAGUUAUUUCUAAUUUAUUAAAAAAAAUAAGAAAUUUAAAAUUUAUAAAUAUAAAAUAUGAAAAUUAAAAUGGAAAAUCAAAAAUUUAUUCCUUGGUUUAUAGGGUUUAUGGAUGCAGAAGGAGGUUUCCUUUGUCAUUUAGUACCCAGAAUUAAUAGAAAAAAUAUCGCAACUAGUUAUAAAAUAUUACGUGCUAUUCAUUUAGGACUUAACCUGAAAGAUUUAAGUUUAAUUGAAUUCAUUAACCAAAAAUUAGGUAAUAUCGGAAAUAUUUAUCAAUAUCCUAUUAAGCAAGAAUGUAAAUUAGCUAUUUCUUCUAAUGAAAAUAUAGUUAAAUUUAUACAAACUGUUUUUUCUGAAACAGAAAAUACUUUAUUAACUAUUCAUCAAGCAACUAGAUAUGAACAGUUAAGAAAAGUAGUUAUUGAAAAAAUAAUAAGUGUAAAAACCACUGAACAGUUUGAGGAUAUUCAAGUUAAACAGAUCAUACCUAGUUUUGAGGCAUGUUCUUCUUUUUAUUUAGACUAUUGGUUAUCUGGGUUUUUAAAUGGUGAAGUUUCAUUUACUACAUUUAAAGGUAAGAGUGGUAAUCUUAAACCUCAAGUAUUUUUAGAACAUACAGAUGAAAGAGCAGUAAAUUUUUUUAGAAAUUACUUAAAUUUAAAUCCAAAAGUUCAUUCUAGACAAAGAGAUAAUCGAAAACUAACUUAUUCCAUCAAAAUAACUAGUGUAAAAGACUUAAAUAGUAUUAUUCAAUUUUUAGAUAGAACAGAGGGCUUAUUAGGAAACAAAUUAUUUCAAUAUAAUGAAUGGAAAGAUCGAUUUUUUUCUAAAUAAUCUUAAAGGUUUUUUUUAUAUAAUUUCAAUUAUAUGUCCUUAGUAAAUUCUCAAAUUAGUGCUUGAGCCGUAUGCGCUGAAAGGUGCAAGUACGGUUCUUAGGGGGGGAAAGCCCGAGAGGGCCUACCUAUCCCAACUAGAUACCCAGGUACCCCUAUCUGUCAACGAUGAAUGGUAGUCUUUACUUAAAAAAAGUAGAGGCGAAGUUAACACGAUAACCAUUCCGCCUUGUGAGUACGAUUGCAAAAUUGAAAACAAAAAAAUUA